GAUGAACGCUGGCGGCGUGCCUAAUACAUGCAAGUCGAGCGAAGCGGGGACGGGUGAGUAACACGUGGAUAACCUCCUAUAAGACUGGGAUGACUUCGGGAAACCGGUGCUAAACCGGAUGCUUAUGGAUGGUUCCGUGCUACAUUAGCUAGUUGGUAAGGUAACGGCUUACCAAGGCAACGAUGCAUAGGCGACCUGAGAGGGUGAUCGGCCACACUGGAACUGAGACACGGUCCAGAGUCCUACGGGAGGCAGCAGUAGGGAAUCGUCCGCAAUGGGCGAAAGCCUGACGGAGCAACGCCGCGUGAGUUAUAAAGGUCUUCGGUGCGUAAAACGCGGUUAUGAGGGAAGCGGUACCUAAUCAAGAAGCAACGGCUAACUACGUGCCAGCAGCCGCGGUAAUUC
rnacentral:rRNA from 1 species